rnacentral:rRNA from 1 species
GACGAACGCUGGCGGCGUGCCUAAUACAUGCAAGUCGAGCGGACCAAAGGGAGCUUGCUCCUGGAGGUUAGCGGCGAACGGGUGAGUAACACGUGGGCAACCUGCCUGUAAGACUGGGAUAACAUCGAGAAAUCGGUGCUAAUACCGGAUAAUAAAAAGAACUGCAUGGUUCUUUUUUGAAAGAUGGUUUCGGCUAUCACUUACAGAUGGGCCCGCGGCGCAUUAGCUAGUUGGUGAGGUAACGGCUCACCAAGGCAACGAUGCGUAGCCGACCUGAGAGGGUGAUCGGCCACACUGGGACUGAGACACGGCCCAGACUCCUACGGGAGGCAGCAGUAGGGAAUCUUCCGCAAUGGACGAAAGUCUGACGGAGCAACGCCGCGUGAGUGAUGAAGGUUUUCGGAUCGUAAAACUCUGUUGUUAGGGAAGAACAAGUGCCGUUCGAAAGGGCGGCGACCUUGACGGUACCUAACGAGAAAGCCACGGCUAACUACGUGCCAGCAGCCGCGGUAA